rnacentral:tRNA from 2 species
CCUGAGCCGGUGGGGUUUGCGCCCUCGGCGUUUUUGUCGGUGAUAGUGCCUUCUCCGGUGCCGGCCGGCGCUUCGGU